rnacentral:tRNA from 1 species
AGACCCUGGCCUCUCACGCCAGUAACAGCAGUUCGAAUCUGCUACGGGUCA